AUUGAACGCUGGCGGCAUGCUUUACACAUGCAAGUCGAACGGUAACAGCACUUCGGUGGCUGACGAGUGGCGAACGGGUGAGAAUACAUCGGAACGUGCCUAGUAGUGGGGGAUAACUACUCGAAAGAGUAGCUAAUACCGCAUGAGAUCUAAGGAUGAAAGCAGGGGACCUUCGGGCCUUGCGCUACUAGAGCGGCUGAUGGCAGAUUAGGUAGUUGGUGGGAUAAAAGCUUACCAAGCCGACGAUCUGUAGCUGGUCUGAGAGGACGACCAGCCACACUGGGACUGAGACACGGCCCAGACUCCUACGGGAGGCAGCAGUGGGGAAUUUUGGACAAUGGGCGCAAGCCUGAUCCAGCAAUGCCGCGUGCAGGAUGAAGGCCUUCGGGUUGUAAACUGCUUUUGUACGGAACGAAAAGCCCUCUUCUAAUACAGGAGGGUCAUGACGGUACCGUAAGAAUAAGCACCGGCUAACUACGUG
rnacentral:rRNA from 1 species